rfam:Ovis aries breed Texel chromosome 12, whole genome shotgun sequence.
UCCCUGGUCGCUCAGUGGUAAAGAGUCUGCCUGCCAAUGCAGAAGACACAGGUUCGAGCCCUGAUCCGGGAA